rnacentral:rRNA from 1 species
UAUGUAGGCGGAAUAAUAAGUCAGUGGUGAAAUCUCUCGGCUCAACCGGGAAACUGCCAUUGAUACUGUUAUUCUUGAGUACAGUUGAAGUGGGCGGAAUGUGUCAUGUAGCGGUGAAAUGCUUAGAUAUGACACAGAACACCGAUAGCGAAGGCAGCUCACUAAGCUGUAACUGACGCUCAUGCACGAAAGCGUGGGGAUCAAACAGGAUUAGAUACCCUGGUAGUCC